rnacentral:rRNA from 1 species
GUUUAUUUCCAUACAACAAUGGGAACCCCCAAUCUUGGAAGCUAAGCAAGGUUUGGCCUGGUAAGAACU